GAGUAGUAGUAGUUAUGGUCUUGAAACUUAAAGAAUUUGGCGGUAUUUUAGUCUAUUCAGAGGAACCUGUUCUGUAAUCGAUAAUCCACGGGGACUUUACUUAAGCUUGUUAAUUAAUUUGUAUACCGCCGUUAUAGAUUAUCUUAUUAGAGGAUUAAUUUUCUUAAUUUUUCAAAAGUAUAUCAGGUCAAGGUGCAGUUUAUGUUUAAGGAAGAAAUGGGUUACAAUAAAUUUAUUUAUAUGGAUUUAAGAUUGAAACAUUUUAAUGAAGGUGGAUUUGAUAGUAAAAUUAUUAACUUUAUUAAUUUGAUUCUGGCUCUAAAAUAUGC
rnacentral:rRNA from 1 species